rnacentral:rRNA from 1 species
GACGAACGCUGGCGGCGUGCUUAACACAUGCAAGUCGAACGAUGAUCAGGAGCUUGCUCCUGUGAUUAGUGGCGAACGGGUGAGUAACACGUGAGUAACCUGCCCCUGACUCUGGGAUAAGCGUUGGAAACGACGUCUAAUACUGGAUAUGAUCACUGGCCGCAUGGUCUGGUGGUGGAAAGAUUUUUUGGUUGGGGAUGGACUCGCGGCCUAUCAGCUUGUUGGUGAGGUAAUGGCUCACCAAGGCGACGACGGGUAGCCGGCCUGAGAGGGUGACCGGCCACACUGGGACUGAGACACGGCCCAGACUCCUACGGGAGGCAGCAGUGGGGAAUAUUGCACAAUGGGCGAAAGCCUGAUGCAGCAACGCCGCGUGAGGGAUGACGGCCUUCGGGUUGUAAACCACUUUUAGUAGGGAAGAAGCGAAAGUGACGGUACCUGCAGAAAAAGCACCGGCUAACUACGUG